ACACUCGUGAAAAAUGUCAUUUAAUUUAUUAAACGUAACGAUUGAAAUAAUAAAUAUAUAUUUUACUCACUCGUUAAUCCUUUGACUGCUAUGGGCGCAUAUAUGCGUCCGACGAAGGCUUCGAUUGUUUACUAUUGUCCCAUGUGUAUGUUCGGAGUCAAAGGGUUAACAGGUGCAAUUUAUUUGUCAGUAUUAAUAAUUUCAAAUAUUGCGAAAUAAAGCGAAUAGAAAAAAAAACUCGAAGGAAGAAGAAGAAGAAGAAGAAGAAGAAGAAGAAGAAGAAGAAAAUAAAAAAGAUAGGGAAUAAAAAGGGCUUCCAGAAAUGAAAAGAAAACUAUCGAAUUCUUGGACAUAUCGAUAUAUAUUAAAAAUAACAAGAGAAUAUCGCAAAUGGAAUAGUCUCACUGGGAAAAUGGAAUUUUGAGUAGCUCACUCAUCCGUGUAACGAGUUUAAUCGGCAUGGACAAAGCGGGAAAAGCAUCGAAGCUGGGCAUCGAGUUUGUACGCCUCUACGAGCGUCGGAGGUGCGGUGACGUUCAGCCUGAGGGCCAAAGGAAUUUCGGCGCUAACGAGACCGGAACAAGGCAGUCUGAUCCUGAAGACUUGCAGGACGACGGGGACCUCGCCUUUGGCCGACACGUUCACCCUCGGAGACAGUAAAGCCAUCAUGCCCGAAGCUGCACCCGCCACUCUCACUACAUCGUAAUCCAACUCCAUAGAAUAUGAGAGUGGCAAAGGAAGAAACGAGAAAGAAGAAGAUGAAGAGAAAAGGGUGUCCCGUUUUCCAAGCUCUUCCCAUGGGACAAGUGGAGAGAAAUCUGGAAUGGGUAUCGAGGGCACAGAAGAUGGGUUAUGUGUACCUCUCGAUUCUGAGAGUUCAGUGGUUAGGUUUCUCUCGUGCUAAGUAGAAAAUCGUGUCUGGCAUAUGAACAAGCGGCCGUCGUUGUUUGGUCGUUGCAGAAGACAGUUAAUGUUGCUCUGGGUGUGCCAGUGCACACCCAUAAACGCAUUACUCCUCUCGUGUUUCAUCGAAAGACCUUG